UCUUGCGCGCCCCCGACUAG
rnacentral:misc_RNA from 1 species